rnacentral:piRNA from 1 species
UUCGCGAACUGGUUCCAGUCA